rnacentral:rRNA from 1 species
CACAUGAGGAAAUUGGACAUGGGCGNAAGCCUGAUCCAGCCAUGCCGCGUGCAGGANGAANNNUCUAUGGUGUGUAAACUGCUUUUGUACGGGAAGAAACACUCCUUCGUGAAGGAGCUUGACGGUACCGUAAGAAUAAGGAUCGGCUAACUCCGUGCCAGCAGCCGCGGUAAUA